GACGAACGCUGGCGGCGUGCCUAAAACAUGCAAGUCGAACGAGGUAGCAAUAUCUAGUGGCGAACGGCGGAGUAAUACAUAAACAACGUGCCCCUAUGACUGGGAUAGCCCGGGGAAACCCGGAGUAAUACCGGAUGUGGCGGAGUGGAGGCAUCUUCAUUCCAUUAAAUGGUUUUUCGCAUAGGGAGCGGUUUAUGGCCUAUCAGGUAGUUGGUGGGGUAAUGGCCUACCAAGCCGACGACGGGUAGCGGGUCUGAGAGGACGAUCCGCUCGAGUGGGACUGAGACACGGCCCACACACCUACGGGUGGCAGCAGUUGGGAAUCUUGCACAAUGGGGGAAACCCUGAUGCAGCGACGCCGCGUGGAGGAUGAAGGAUCUAGGUCUGUAAACUCCUUUUUCAGGGAAAGACUUAGGACGGUACCCUGAGAAUAAGCACCGGCUAACUACGUG
rnacentral:rRNA from 1 species